rnacentral:rRNA from 1 species
AGAUUGAACGCUGGCGGCAUGCCUUACACAUGCAAGUCGAACGGUAACGCGGGGCAACCUGGCGACGAGUGGCGAACGGGUGAGUAAUGCAUCGGAACGUGCCCAGUAGUGGGGGAUAGCCCGGCGAAAGCCGGAUUAAUACCGCAUACGACCUACGGGUGAAAGCGGGGGACUCGCAAGAGCCUCGCGCUAUUGGAGCGGCCGAUGUCAGAUUAGCUAGUUGGGUGGGUAAAACGCCUAACCAAGGCGACGAUCUGUAGCUGGUCUGAGAGGACGACCAGCCACACGUGGGACUGAGACCACGGCCCAGACUCCGUACGGGAGGCAGG